rnacentral:rRNA from 1 species
GAUGAACGCUGGCGGCGUGCCUAAUACAUGCAAGUCGAGCGAACGGACGAGAAGCUUGCUUUUCUGAUGUUAGCGGCGGACGGGUGAGUAACACGUGGAUAACCUACCUAUAAGACUGGGAUAACUUCGGGAAACCGGAGCUAAUACCGGAUAAUAUUUUGAACCGCAUGGUUCAAAAGUGAAAGACGGUCUUGCUGUCACUUAUAGAUGGAUCCGCGCUGCAUUAGCUAGUUGGUAAGGUAACGGCUUACCAAGGCAACGAGGCAUAGCCGACCGCAGGGGGGGAUAGGCCACCCGGGAACGGGGACAGGGUCCAGAGUCCUAAGGGAGGCAGCAGUAGGGAAUCUGACGCAAUGGGCGAAAGCCUGACGGAGCAACGCCGCGUGAGUGAUGAAGGUCUUCGGAUCGUAAAACUCUGUUAUUAGGGAAGAACAGAUGUGUAAGUAACUGAGCACAGCUUGACGGUACCUAAUCAGAAAGCCACGGCUAACUACGUG